GCUGAGACUGGAGUCACAUCCCGACCCAGAACUUGUCCUGGUGUGCUAUAUAGUUCUCGGAGAGAAUUUGCUGGUUUUGAUUCACUGGAGGGGACAGUUAAUGUCCACAUUAGUGCCCAGAUCAGAAACGUAG
rnacentral:snoRNA from 1 species